UACGUAGGGGGCUAGCGUUAUCCGGAAUUACUGGGCGUAAAGGGUGCGUAGGCGGCUUGUUAAGUCAGGGGUGAAAUCCCACGGCCCAACCGUGGAACUGCCUUUGAUACUGGCGAGCUUGAGUGCGUGAGGGGUAACCGGAACGAGUAGUGUAGCGGUGAAAUGCGUAGAUAUUACUCGGAAGGCCAAAGGCGAAGGCAGGUUACUGGUACGCAACUGACGCUGAGGCACGAAAGCGUGGGGAGCAAACAGG
rnacentral:rRNA from 1 species